UCAAGAAUUAGCCUGGCACACGUGGUGUUAGAUGGAAUGCAGAUUUUGAUUUGGGUGUGGAAGAAGCCAUCUAAAUUUGUAACUGAAAUAUGAUCUCAUUUUUUUACUUGCAAGGACUUUUGGGACUUGGCUCUUCUUCUUCUCCAUCCUCAAUCUGGCUGUCUUUGCCUUAGAGACUUUCUUCUAUUAACUUCUCAUUUCUGACUCCAGC
rnacentral:lncRNA from 1 species